GCUGAAGAGUCCCACAAUAGGACGAAACGGCCGUCC
rnacentral:hammerhead_ribozyme from 1 species